rnacentral:lncRNA from 10 species
UUUUUUGUAUUUUUAGUAGAGACGGGGUUUCACCGUGUUAGCCAGGAUCGUCUUGAUCUCCUGACCUUGUGAUCCACCCGCCUCGGCCUCCCAAAUUGCUGGGAUUACAGAUGUGAGCCACCGCACCUGGUCCAAGAGCCCAAGUUUUAGAUCUAGAGUGAUGUCAGCAUGACAUUGAUUUCCUGAGGCCCAGGGGCGAAGGAGCUGAGGACAGCAGAGGGGUGAAGGAACUCAGCUACAGACAGCAGCAGCUGAUGCACAGGCCUCCCAGCGCCUGAAGUCACCCGGAAUUGGGAAGUGCUCAGAAGCUUACAAAGCUGCCUCGAGGAACAGUAAGAGGACCUUGUGCAUGAAUAAUUUGUUUCCACACUGCAGAAAGAAUCCCAGACUUCUUAGAGAACCCAGUGACUUUUUGCACCUUAAAUCUGUGAAAUCCUCAUGCUUUCUUCUGCCGUAUCCAUCGUUCAAACAAACAUGAGGCAAAGCUAGACACAUUCCUGAAGGAACCCAAGAAAUUCCUCUCUUUCUCUCUCUGGAAUGAAAUGAAUUCUCUAGACCACCAGUUCUAACCUUCAAAAACGAAACCUGUUUGUGAGAUCUCCUUCAAAUACUACUGUAGACCCCAGUGUUUAUUCAUUAAAUUUUUUAAACAUUUGUUUUAUUUGG